AUUGAACGCUGGCGGCAUGCUUUACACAUGCAAGUCGAACGGUAACAGGCCGCAAGGUGCUGACGAGUGGCGAACGGGUGAGUAAUGCAUCGGAACGUGCCCAGUCGUGGGGGAUAACGCAGCGAAAGUUGCGCUAAUACCGCAUACGAUCUAUGGAUGAAAGCGGGGGACCGUAAGGCCUCGCGCGAUUGGAGCGUCCGAUGUCAGAUUAGGUAGUUGGUGGGGUAAAGGCUCACCCAGCCGACGAUCUGUAGCUGGUCUGAGAGGACGAGCAGCCCCACUGGGACUGAGACGCGGGCCAGACUCCUACGCGAGGCAGCAGUGGGGAAUUGUGGACAAUGGGCGCAAGCCUGAUCCAGCAAUGCCGCGUGCAGGAAGAAGGCCUGCGGGUUGUAAACUGCUUUUGUACGGAACGAAACGGUCCUGGUUAAUACCCGGGGCUAACGACGGUACCGUAAGAAUAAGUACCGGCUAACUACGUGCCAGCCGCCGCAAUAACAC
rnacentral:rRNA from 1 species